rnacentral:rRNA from 1 species
UACGUAGGAUGCAAGCGUUGUCCGGAAUUAUUGGGCGUAAAGAGAACGUAGGCGGUUCCAUAAGUUCGAUUUUAAAGACCGGGGCUCAACCUCGGGAGUGGAUUGAAGACUGUGGAGCUAGAGGAUGUCAGAGGAUGGUGGAAUUCCAAGUGUAGCGGUGAAAUGCGUAGAUAUUGGAGGAACACCUGUGGCGAAAGCGGCCAUCUGGGGCAUUCCUGACGCUGAGGUUCGAAAGCUCGGGGAGCAAACAGG